rnacentral:lncRNA from 1 species
CCUCUUCCCACAUGUUAAGGCCCAUGCUCAAUCUAGCCUCCUCAAAUUACCAAAAUUUCCUUCACUUCUCUAUCAAUAUACCGAAUUCAGCUGGAUUGAUCGUCACUACAUUUGAAAGCUUAGAUCCUAAGCUUAGAUACAUGUAGGCACAUCAGUUUAGCCACAUAAACAAUGUGCCUACAUACAACACUUUCUAAUGUAUGUUCUCAUUUAUCAUACAAUGAACAUUUUAGAGAAACAACAAAAUCAAAAGGACAAACAUAGAUAUAUGUUCCUGCAGGAACUUCACUUAUAAAUUGCAAGGUACAAAAAAUUAUAAAAAACUAACUUAACUUAUCAACUCGUUUUCUAGAGACAUGUUUUAACUAAUUUACUGAAACAAUUGUUUGAGUUCAAAUCAAUUAAUUGAGGGUUACAUAAAAGACUCAUUCGCUUCUUUAGUUAUAUAUAUGCGUCUCUUAAUCCUAAAAAACACUCUAUUCCCAUCCUGAUCUUUGACUUUUAGAUUAAUGUGCACCCAGCCAAAAUUAAACAGCUAGACGAUUAAAAUUCAUGACUUCUUUAUUAGAGAUUUAUCAUAAUUUACAGUUUAGUUUUUUCUACCUUGUGCUGGAAAAGGUGUCUCUCUAGAGUUCCACUUCACUGCCGCAUCAAUAUUUUCUUUAUAAAAAAUCUCUCUUUUGGGCAGUUGCUGCCGCAGACGGCCAACCUCUGCCCCAAUCGCUCCGCCUCCUUAUCUUGCUCCAAAACUAUAGCUUUAUAUCCAAAUCUAGAAUAACAUACCAGAAGAAAGAUACAAAAUUAUAUUGAUAAUAUCAAUAACAAUGUCAAUAAUAAUUGGGAAAAAAAAAAUAUGCAAACCAUAACAUAAUAAUCAUAUCCCAAUAACAUCGUAACAUAUACUCAUAUGCUCUAAAUUACAUGUAUUAUUCCAAAAAAAUCAUUCUAUACAUGCUUCUCUAUACCAGUAUUCAAAAUAUAAUCCACAUAUAUUGGUAAUGUAACCAAACAUUAUAGAAAGAGAGAUGAGAAAGAAUUUUAGCGGUCGAUCUCUUCUUCCUCGAAGAUUUGGCAUCUUGAUCAUCACCACCAGAUGUGUUGUCCAUGUUGUCGCUCUCGGAUCUGGUUCUUCUGUGCUGUUCAUCUCGGCUUCUUCUUCCAUUAAACAUUGAUUGUACGUUUUCCACCAUUCUUGCCAUCUACCCUUGCCUCUCCCAUGCUUCAAUCAUAAAAAAACAUCCGCAUCUUUAUGCAUGAAUGGAUGGAGAGAACUCGAAGAAAAUCGCAUUAAUUUAUGAGAAUUUAUCUUUGCUUCAAGAUAUUGUGAGAGAACCGUGUUGUGCGAGUGAGUGAGAGAACGUGUUAGACAAAGAGAGAUAGUUGUUGCUGCAAGAGAACGUGUGAGAGAUGAUUUUAUCGAGAAAAUU